CCUACGGGAGGCAGCAGUGGGGAAUAUUGGACAAUGGGCGAAAGCCUGAUCCAGCAAUGCCGCGUGAGUGAUGAAGGCCUUCGGGUCGUAAAGCUCUUUUACCAGGGAUGAUAAUGACAGUACCUGGAGAAUAAGCUCCGGCUAACUCCGUGCCAGCAGCCGCGGUAAUACGGAGGGAGCUAGCGUUGUUCGGAAUUACUGGGCGUAAAGAGUACGUAGGCGGUUAUUCAAGUCAGAGGUGAAAGCCCGGGGCUCAACCCCGGAACUGCCUUUGAAACUAGAUAGCUAGAGUCUUGGAGAGGUUAGUGGAAUUCCGAGUGUAGAGGUGAAAUUCGUAGAUAUUCGGAAGAACACCAGUGGCGAAGGCGACUAACUGGACAAGUACUGACGCUGAGGUACGAAAGCGUGGGGAGCAAACAGGAUUAGAUACCCUGGUAGUCCACGCCGUAAACGAUGAUAACUAGUUGUUCGGUCACUUGGUGACUGAGUGACGCAGCUAACGCAUUAAGUUAUCCGCCUGGGGAGUACGGUCGCAAGNUUAAAACUUAAGGAAUUGACGG
rnacentral:rRNA from 1 species